UCCAGGGUAGCCUAGUGGACAUGGCAUCUGCCCGGUAAGCGGAACGUUUUGGAUUCGAUUCCCGCCCCUGGAC
rnacentral:tRNA from 1 species